UAUCCGCCCCCCCCCAACCCUGAACUGGGUUUAUGUGCGUCCCUCGCACCCCCUCCUCUCCCUUUCUUUCUCUGUCUCUGUCUUCUCUCUCGCUGGCUUUUUAAAAAUGAGGACCCGUUCCUUGAACGUUCUGGACGGAGCCCAGAAUUGCUCCUUAAGUCCGCCCGCCGCGGUUGCAAUAGACAGCCAAAAGGUAAACGUUUGCCUGAAAUCCGCACGCCGGCUCCACCACCCCGCCGGAUGGUGCCCUUUGUCCGGCAUGGUGCCACAGGCGAAGGACCCCGGGGUACCAAACACCCAGCAUCUCCAGCAGAUCUAGCCUGGACAUCUUCAAGGCGGUGCCGGGGUCCACACCCGAGGACUUUUUGGUGGGGUUUGCUGUGCAGCUGCUAACCUUUCUUUGGAUAUAGUAAUCAACUUUUCCCAAUGGUUUUAUUGAACCAGGAAGUGACUAGAGGGACUGGGAAGAAAUGCGAACACAUUUUACAGUGAAGGUGAGCUGUGACUCCAGGAGAAAAAUCACGUUGCCUCAUCUUCAGUUGUAGAAAAAGAGCCACCGAUCCCCUCCAAACACAGGCGUCAGGUUCCUCUCCAACCCCCAAAGUGAGCCCCGUGCCGAAGCCUUGAUGUGAAAAGUACUUCCCGUUCUCCAGUGUGUGCGUCCAUCAGGAGGAGCAUGCCGGGGCAGCGUGGACAACCUCCUGGCCCGAUCUCCGAGAUCUCUGGCAGCAACGUUGCUGCUGUCAUCCUGGUGAGCUGGGUACGUGGGAGAGGCCCUGACCCCCUUCGAUCUCCGAAUGCCUGCUGGUGGCCCUGCUGUUUACAUCCCUCGCCAGGGGGACACAGCCCCUUCCAACAGAUGCCGGUCCUCUCGCUGAGUUCAGAACUCGAUGCCCCUUCAUCUGUUGGGAGGCUGGGAGGCCUUACCCACCGCUGACCUGGUCAUCUAGCUCCAGCCUGGUGAAGAGGUACCAUCCCAAUGGACAGCAGUGUCCCAGCCCAAUCCUACUGAGUCAUUUGUCAAGCCUGGUGCUUGUUUUCGGUUCCCGAGACUGACCUGCGCGUUGUGAGACACACGCAUUCUGUGACCUUUAUCUUCACAUCCUUCCCCGUCCGCGCUGCUCUUGGGCAUCAAAUCAGCCGCUUCCUCUCGUUCCAGAUGCGCUGCCAGCUUGGGGUGGUUUGAGUUGAGUGGGUCGGACAAGGGGAAAUAGGCGAUUUCCUCUGCCUCUUGUAGACUUAAUCUCUCAUCCAGAUACCUCUAAAGCAUCUCUUUCAACAGCAGGCUUUUGUCCGGGGUGAGCAGCAGAACUGGGAAGAGCAACUUUCUUCUUAACAGUGCUGCAAGUCAGAGUCCAAAUGACAGACGCUUUCCUGGUUCCGAAGAUGACACUUCAGCGCUUACGUUUCUUUCAACAGCUCACCCCAGGUGGAGGGAGAGAUGGCAACGUCCUGUGUCUCUUCCAGAGUGGGGUGAGGAGCGGGGCCGACCAAUGGUGUCACCCGCUGGAAAUACUCUUUUCUUGGGUCCACUAUUCGAUGUUUGGGGGCUUCCCUCCUGUCUGCAUAAAUUUCCUCUGUUUACUUUCUGGAAGAUUUUAUUUAUUUAAUUUUAGAGAGAGGGGAAGAGAGGGAGGAAGACAGGGCGAGAGACAUGGAUGGGAGAGCGAAACACGGAUCAGUUGCUUCUUGUUCGCACCCCAACCAGGGACCGAACCCGCAACUCAGGUUUUCCAACUACUGGUAGGUCUUUGGGGACUGGAGACCUGCCUCAUUCAUGGGCGACCACCUGGGGAGCAAUUCAAAUCAGCAGCACAUAAUGUGGGUUCAGAACAUUCACCGACGUCGAACCUUCCCGGAGACUGAGCCAUCCCAAGUCUGAAGGGGCGUCCCCGUUACUCGGAAAACUUCCGUCCCCUUCCUCCUGUGGUGUGUGUCAAGUAUAUUGAAGAGUCUUGUGAAGCAGAUCGCCUUAUUGGCAAAGAAAUGAAAGACCUCCAGGAAGAUGGAUGGGGAGCUCUUCUCAAGGGUGUUCCCAUCUCUGUGUGCAGAACAAAACUCUGGGCGGCUGGGAAGAUGUGUGCCAGUGGUAAGAGCUGGACAUCAGGCAACCUCUCACCAGGCUGUUACAUCCUUCCACGCCAAAGAAAUGAAGGAGCAGAGCGGAGAUGCUGACCCUGUAAAGGAGGGCAUAGGAUGGAGUGAUACCAGCAGGGCAGUCCAUGAAUACCCAUCACAGGCCUGAAAGAGUUAAUGUGCUACAAUGCCUCCCCCUCCCGUCUGGUACCCGGGGAGUCCAGCCCCGCUGGGUGAAGGCUACUGAUGCAUUAGGCUCCAAGGAACCCACUGCCUGUCUGGUCACUGUGCAGAAGUCUGUUCUCCCAGUUUUCUAAGUGGUAAUCCUAGAAUUAUCUUGGCUCAGAAAUAAAUGAAGAACAUGUGUUCCGGACUCCAGUUUCCCCACAGGGGCUGUGGCAGAAACAAGGAUGAAGUCCCAGGACCCAGAACCUCUCCAGCAGCGGACCACGCGUCAACCGCCGAACAUUCUCUUGGAGAAGGCUCUCGGCCUUUCUCUUUCCCACAGUGUGAGAUCAAGUAUAGGGAGGGAGGCAAAAGCAAAGCAAUGGAGCUUCUUCAAAGGUUUGCCAGUCGGGAAAGACGGGGCUAUAUUUAGUUCCCUGACGGUCUGUCCAGGAAGCUAAAGCCACCAGGCAAUGAAGUGGUAAAUGGUAUAUACACACUGAAGAGUAGACACACUCCUGAAGUUCAUGGCUCUGAAACAACUUCAAGUCCAAAAGGAGCCUGCAGAUCGAAUUCAAACAAAAUGACAGACAGAACGUCGACAUGAACAAUGGUGGUGUAACAUGAUGGAUGAUGGACGGCUAACUUUCGGUCGCAACUGGUGGCCUUAAUGUUUCACCAACUGGAAUGAGGAAGAUUGAUUUGAGCAUGCGUAUCUUGCCGUGGGAUGUAUACAGUGAUUCUUCUAGCAUUUUCCCCUAGUUAAGCUGCUGCCAAGCUUUGGUCCACACAGCAUACUAGAGGUUCAGUUGACUGUCUCUUGGCAUAAAUGUAUGAUUUACCUGUUGGGGGGAUCCAGGUGUUGUGGGGCCUGGGUAGUGUUCGAUUUGGGCGGCUUUCUUUCGUGAAAGUACAAUACAAACAGAUGCCUCCCGCAGUCCCCCUUGAAAGGGACCUAUGCACAUGAGAACUCUUGAAGCUCAAGUUUAAUUACCUUCAUGCUAAAUCCACCUGUUUUCAUGUAUCAAGUCCUUCUCGAUUGUUUUUCCCUUGUGGUUGAUCAAGCAGUAUGAUCGGGCAGCAUUCACGAGUGGCUUUUUCAUUUUAUUUUAAGAAGAUCAGCUUUAAAUGGCAUAUUUGUGCCUUUAAGAUCCUUCUCAAAAACGAAAUUAAACAUUACUAUUGACAACACAGGGACUGUUGGGAAAGAUAUUCCUAUUAAAUCCUUUUCCCCUUACAAAUUCCUCAGAGGAGAGAUGAUGCCGAGGCGAAGUUUUAGGGUCCUGCUGUACUUGGCUGUGAUUGGCUUAUAGCGGUCAAUAUUUGGGAGGGAAAUACAGAGGGGAGCAGUUCGCUGGAAUAACUUUUCCCAGCCUGUCUGAAUUGUUGGAGCUUUGCGCACAGCCCCUGUGAGUUUCCAACCCCUGGGCCCCAUAUCUUGUCCUGUCCCUGGCCUCAUGUCAAGGUGGACAGAACCUGUAGGGCUAAAGUGAAUCUCAGGCUAGAUCAUCUGGGAGGGCCAGAGGGAUAAACGGAAUCCAGACACCACCAUUCAUUUCAGGGACAAAGGUGGUGAUCAGAUAGGUCAUGAGUCAGAGCCUAGGAGUCAUCAAACAGAAGUCACGGGGGUACAGAAGGGUCAGGCUAGCAACAGAAAUCAGGGUCAGGAAGAACUCACAGCCAAGACCUCGCUGGCACGGUGGGGUGGAUAUUAACAUCAUGGUCAAGCAAGUCUCAGGCUUUGGCAGGGCGGUCUCCCUGCCGUCCUUGCCUGGUAGGACUCGUGUCUACAGACUGUUUUGGGGCCCAUCAGUGCUGGGUCUGCAAGCCUUGUAGAGGACAGGGAGUAGGUGUGGCUCUUUUAGUCGAGGGAAAUUCUGGAAUCGCUUUGACUAGAGUCGGAGAACAAGAUGAGGCCUCCCCCAGCCCCGAGGGCUCUUCCUUCUAAGACAGGAGGGUUUUCUGAGAAGCCUUCAGGUGAGAGCCUGCAGGGCCCUGUACUGAGCACACGCAUUCUGAUGAGCUUGGUUCCCAGAAAAUGCGCAUGUGGGAAAGCUUUGGGGCUUGCCAUUUAAAAAAAAAUCCUAACUUUCUAUUUCUCUACCUUAUGGGGUUACUAUCAAGUUCAAGUGAGAUUACACAUGUACAUAAAAGAGCUUUGUACUUGGUGAGGAGCCACCUGUAGCAGGUGUUGUAACCCUAUUUCUUUCCCGGGAAGGUGCUGAUUUGUGUCACCCUUGAUAAUUACACUAUUUUUAAGUGUGACCAUUUUGCCUGAUAAACACUUUUUUUUUUCCUGUUUCCUUUCUGCUUCGU